GCCGGCUCGCGGCUUCAGACCCUUAGAACCACUUCCGCUUCCACGGUGACGCAUCGCGGGAGAAGGUGGAUUCGGCUGAGAAUCCCAUUUAGAAGGCCCCUAAUCCAUGAAGGCUUCAGGAGCAGAGAGGAAUGGAGAAGAGAAGAUAGAUCCUUUUUUUUUUUUUUUUUUAACAUGCGCCCUUGACCCCCCUCCUCUGCAAGUCCCUGAACUCCCGGAGGGCGGGGGCUCUGUCCUUAUUCCCUACCUCCAGGCCUGGGGUCAGGCAGGAAGUGCUCGGAAAGUGCUUGCAAACUGACGAACGAGUUAACAUCUUCAUCUGAUCAUCUCAAGUUCACUCUUACAGGCACCCCGAGAAGUAGGAACCUAAUAUUUACUGGAUGAGUAAACUGGACCCUCCUGGAGAUGAACAAGGUACUUCUCAUCAGCUGCGGUGGCCGGGCUCUGCGCUGGGGCUACGAGGACGGACCUAUAAGGACCCCUCUGCAGAGAGCAAGAGAGUGAACACAAGCAGGCCUCCCGAUGCGGGGCUCAAACCCAGGACCCUGGGAUCAUGCCGUGAGCUGAAGGCAGAGCCUUAACGACCGACCGAGCCACCCAGGUGCCCUCUUUUAUCAAGUGCUGAGAAACUCUGUCAUUACAAAAAGAACCCUAUAGAAAGCCAGAGAAAGACCCGAGAAUGGAUUUAUAGACAAAGCUUGGUGUCCUUGGAGUCCGAGGCGGGGAAGGCAAAACCCCAGGCCUUCAGCAAGCUGGCCUUCGCUUGGCCGGGUCCCCCACUGCCUCAGCAGAGCCGUGAUUGGGGCGCAGGAGGGCAAAGUAAACCCCAACCAUGCCAGCCGCGCAGCACUGGGGGGCAGAGGUGGGAAUGCUAAACCUGCCGGACUCCCUCCUCCCAGUGGGGGAGAUUCAAAAAAAUAAAGAACCCAGCCCUUCCUUCUGUUCAGGGCACCUGCAGCCGGGCACGAGGCUCCCCGUGAAGGAAUGGACGGGCGGGCGAUCAAACCCAAAGCUGAGCCAAGAACGGACAAUAGCUGAACAUCCUGUUUGCAGGAGGAAACGGAAGCUGGAAGCCGCAGGUCCUCUGGGACUCGGGGAGCUUGAAAGUUCAUGAGAACAAGAGACAAUGACAGGACCACCUGGAACGGACAAAACAAGACGAGAAACAAAUAUCCAGGAAGUCAGAAAUGGUUUAAAACACGGUGCAUCGACCCAAGAGAAGGCCCCCGAGGUGUUACUGGCCCGUGGCCUAGUUCUUUCCGUGCUCACCCAGAAGCUUCUCUGGCACAGUGCUGAGGGGAGAAGGCAAACUGCGGAGCACUACGCUCCAGUCCUUGUUUCUGGAACACAAACGACAUCGUGUCUGGGGCUGUGUUUGGAUCCUGAUUUGAAGAAACUAUUUGUAAAAUGCCAUUUUUGAGACAAGGGGAAAUUUGAGUAUGAACUAGGUUUUAGAUGAAAUCAAGGAAUUAUUAUUUUUUUGAAGAUUUUAUUUAUUUGAGAGUGAGCGAGAGAGAGAGAGAGAGCACGAGCCGGGGCAGAGGCAGAACAGACUCCCCCCUGAGCAGGGAGCCCCACACGGGCUCGCUCCCAGGACCCUGGGAUCAUGACCUGAGCGAAGGAAGGCAGACGCUUAACCAACUGAGCCACCCACGCGCCCUGUAGUUAAGGAAUUAUUGUUUAAAUGUGGUUUUUAAAAUUUUAAUUCAGUUAAUUAACCUAGGAUGUAUUAUUGGUUUCAGAGGUACGGGUCUGUGAUUCAUCAGUCAUAUACAACACCCAGUGCUCAUCACAUC